rnacentral:misc_RNA from 1 species
UCCGACUUGGAGCCGGCAGUCUCUUAUGAAAAAUUCAACAUAAGACAUGGGUUGCGCUCGUUUACGGACUUAACCGAACACCUCAAGGCACGAGCUGACGACAACCAUGCAGCACCUGUCACCGAGUUCCUUGCGGCACAAUCGCCUUUCGGCAAUCUUCUCGGGAUGUCAAGCCUUGGUAAGGUUCUUCGUUUACUGUCGAAUUAAACCAGAUGCUCCACCGCUUGUGCGGGUCCCCGUCUAUUCCUUUGAGUUUUAAUCUUGCGAUCGGACUACCCAGGCGGAUCACUUAUCGCGUUAGCUUAGACGCCGAAGGGGUCGAAUCCCCCGACAUCGAGUGAUCAUAGUUUAGGGCGUGGACUAC